GUCCCUUUUACACCUGCCCUGAAGCUGAGACCUCCCACAUGAGGGGUCCCCCCUCCUUUUACAGUGGGAGCUCCAUGAGAGCCCAGACUGGCUUCCUUAGCUGUCUGCAUCCCCAGGGAUUGGCACCAGGUCCACGGGAGGCCUUUGGGCUGCCUGAGCCCUGGAGAGCAAGGAGCAGAGACACACAGUGGGCUAACAUAGCGUAUCUCCCAGGUCUGGGAAACCAUAGGUCAAGGAAGGAGAAAGUCGUUUGGAGAUUUCCCAUUCCAAGCAGAGCCGACUGAGGCCCAGGCUUGGCAAAGACUGGCCAUGUUUCCCAAAUAGGCAGCCACAGUUCACAAGAACAUCCGCAGGGCAGGGAAGGAGGCGGGGGUCUGACAACUGCCAAGCCUGUCACUCUGAAGACCAGGCAAGGAAAGGAAGAAGAGGUCUGCAUCUGAAUGGGAGAUAUCAUCUGCCCAACGAAGAGAGAGAAGCUCCUGCUUCAGAUGCGGGAGUCUACCCAGGGCCCUGGCUCCUCAUUCCUGGGAGCUAGGAUCCCAGCUGCUGUCUGGAAGAAUGGAAAGGGGAAUUCAGCUGAACUCAACCAUUUCUCCUGGGACUGCCUGGGCUACAGUAGCUGGUGCUUCUGUAGACCAGGAAAGGUGAAGGCAGCACCCUCAAGGCUGGGACACUGAGUAGCUGACUCCCAUCCUUGUUGUUCAAAGCCCCUCUCCCAAGGAGCAGACCAUCUUCAGAGAAUAUUUCCAUCUGGGUGUCUAUUCUCCCUAACCAGUCACACUGAAUUCUCUUUUCAAUAGGCCAGACACUUGCUAGCGAGUUUUCUAGAGAUCACUGAUUGAGAGUAGAAUGGGACCACAGAGGUCUUCAAGUACAAAUCUUUCAUUUGACAGGGAGGGAAACCGAGUCCCAGGUGGAGGUGUGUAUCCUUCCUAAAGUCAGAAGCAGUAAAAAGGGGAGGCAGGAUUUGACCAUAAACCCUCUGACCCCCAACCCUCUUUGAAUUCUAUCAGAACAAUAGUACCCUAGAAUGCCAGGCUUCCAGGGCCACUAACUGUCACCCUUUGGACCUACAGUCAUCAAGUGAAUCAAGAGUACUUCCUCUGGGCCGCUGCUGUGGGACAUGAAGGAGGGAGGAGGUAGGUUUUGAGCCCUUGGGGGUAGCUUGGGGGGGACGACACACAAUGGUUCUAUGGUACCCACAGGCCUGCUGGUAAUUCAUAUCUAGCAUCAUGUGAGAGUCUUAUCAAGCCUGUAAAAACAGCUGCAUUCAUACA